rnacentral:rRNA from 1 species
UAACCGGAUUAGAUACCCUGGUAGUCCACGCCGUAAACGAUGUCGACUUGGAGGUUGUGCCCUUGAGGCGUGGCUUCCGGAGCUAACGCGUUAAGUCGACCGCCUGGGGAGUACGGCCGCAAGGUUAAAACUCAAAUGAAUUGACGGGGGCCCGCACAAGCGGUGGAGCAUGUGGUUUAAUUCGAUGCAACGCGAAGAACCUUACCUGGUCUUGACAUCCACGGAAGUUUUCAGAGAUGAGAAUGUGCCUUCGGGAACCGUGAGACAGGUGCUGCAUGGCUGUCGUCAGCUCGUGUUGUGAAAUGUUGGGUUAAGUCCCGCAACGAGCGCAACCCUUAUCCUUUGUUGCCAGCGGUCCGGCCGGGAACUCAAAGGAGACUGCCAGUGAUAAACUGGAGGAAGGUGGGGAUGACGUAA